UAAUUAAUGUGAUAGAUACUUCACAUCUAUCCAUUGUACAGAUACAGUCUCCAUAGGCUACGCCGCAGAGAUAAAAAUGAAAGGCUUAAACUGAAGUGACUUAGCCAAGUACUAAAAAAACACAAAACAAACCAACACCCUAGAGGAAGUCGCUCCCUCUCUGUUACCAAACUACAAGAGGUGAGGUAAGGCAAAGUCAAAAGCAUUAAAUAGAUAAAGUAGGUGAGAGAAAUUCAUAAGCUAGGCUAACCAGUUUGAACCACACAUAUUUGAACAAGAUGCUAAACCAUUCUUUUAAAAGAAGGAAGUAACGAUUAAGGUUUAAAGCCAAAACAAAAAUACAAUAAAAACAAGAGACACAAAACAUUAACAGGAGUAACUGCAGAUCAUUUCAUUACAGCUGGUGAUGCUAAAGUGAGGUGCAUUUAUUCUUGCAGUAUGGAAAGAACUGCAGGCAAAAAAAGUAAUACAAAUACAAAAGAAAAUAAACAGAAAAUACACAGAAAAUACACAGCAAUAAGGAAACUGAUGCCUUUAACACUUUGCUUUGGGGAUUGUUAUUACAGAUACAUUUACAACAUAUGGUCCAUUAUUGUCAGGUUAAAAAUCAAGCUUUGUUCAGAAACUUCCUUCAGUUUCAUCUCUGAUCCUGCUUUACUCUCCAGCACUAAACAAACUACCAUUGGUCUAAUAUAGUAGUUUCUCACUGCACUGAGUGUCAAAAUCAGAAAGUAUUCCUAGGUAUUACUUACUGUCACUUGGCUCAUGGUGGCUAUUUUGUCACCUCCUGGUCUUGGGUCCCACAGAGGAAUAAUGGCAGUAUAGAAGCUGUAGCUCUAUAAAAAGUGUCAUCUUAAUAUCAGAGGAGGAGCUAGCCAUAAGGGGUUGGCUUCACAGAUGUAAAUAUUUCAUAAUUUAUUUAGCAACGUGGCUUUUCUUUUUCCCCCAGGCAAAAACUUUAACAAAGGAAUAGGUCUGCUGCAACAAAGGAAAUAACAGCAAAAGCAGGGACAAGGACACAUCCUAACCCCACUAAUAUCAUCAGGAAUUUGCCUUCAUCUUCAGUGGGAACACAGCUUCAAAGACAUGGGAAUCACCCAUAAAACCUGAAGGAUCUUCUAAGCUUGAGAGACCAGUUUUCAAAAGCUCUCUAGCAAAGUUAUUAUGUUACAAGCAUUACUCCAUCAGAAGAAACUGUAAAAGGAUGAUCCAAAAUACUCAGGAUGUAUUUAAAACUCUUCUGGUUCAAUAAGAAAGCAGGACCUGAAGCCUAACUCUUUCCUGCCAAAGGACAAUUCUUUAGAAAAGGACAGUGAUCUCAGAAGCAGCACAACGAAUUCAGCAAAAUACCAGCCUGGAAACAGUAGGUGCUUCUUCAGUACUUUGCCAUCAGUAGCUAUUGGAUAAACUUCUCAGAAAGUGUAAUGUACCAAAUUAAAAUUUUGUUGUUCAUAGAAUUUCUAUUUGGGGAAGUAUUCCAAUUUUCUGCACUAGGCACUUGAAACUGCAGCAACCUCCAUUACAUUUUUUUCCCCAGCUAAUAUACAAUUAAUGCAUUAUGUAGUAGUUAUAAUCUACUAACUAACCAGAAGUGCUGACAGACUUGUAGUAAAUCAAACACCCAGUAUUAACCAGGCUGAUCUGGUUAUCAGAUUAAGAUAAUGGCCAGCUGUGCCAUCUUGAUAAAUCCUGUGGGAAGAAGUUAUUGUAAUGUCAGUUAUAACUACAUGGUUACU